rnacentral:lncRNA from 1 species
AUAGGAAUAGGUGUAGUUGUAGGUGUAGUUGUAGUUGUAGUUGUAGGUGUAGUUGUAAGUGUAGUUGUAGGAGUAGGUGUAGCUGUAGAUGUCGUUGUAGGAGUAGGUGUAGUUGUAGGUGUAGUUGCAGAUGUAGUUGUAGGUGUAGUUGCAGUUGUUGGUGUAGGUGUAGUUGCAGUUGUUGGUGUAGGUGUAGUUGUAGGUGUAGUUGUAGGAGUAGGCGUAGUUGUAGGUGUAGUUGUAGGCGUAGUUGUAGUUGUAGGUGUAGUUGUAGUUGUAGGUGUAGGUGUAGUUUUAGGCAUAGCUGUAGUUGUAG